rnacentral:tRNA from 1 species
GGAGAGAUGGCUCAGUGGUUAAGAGCACUGGCUCUUCUUCCAGAGGACCUGGGUUCAAUUCCCAGCACCC